UGUGUCUUUGCCUGUCUUUAGAGGAACGGAGUCUAAAUUUUGAUGCUACAACUAUUUUUUUUUUCCUGGAAGCCAUUGUCCACUUUUAAUCUUCACUGCAACUCUGCAACCUCUUGCCAACUCUCAUCCCAUCCUCUCACAAGUCCUCCGGUACUAGGAUGACUACAGUACUCUCCUUGGGAAAGCUGAAAAUCAUGUCAGGUGGGAUUAGGCCUGUCAUGAUAACAAAUUUUACAAAUGAAUAUUGUAAAAAUCAGUGGCGUAAUGCUUGGAUGCGUUUGAGUGCAUAUGGAAAUGUUGAGGCGCAAAGGACAAACUCAAAUGUGUAUGAGUGGAACUGAGGCCCACAGGAGGCAGAGUGGACACCGAAGGUAACCCCAAAGAUGGAAACGGCCAGGUUUAAACACUCUGUGCUCCAACUCAACAGAUCGGUCACACCUGUAAAAAGGAGGAUAAGGUCAGAAGCCAAGAACACCUACAACCCUGCUCAUACGGCCCAGGGCCGUUUCAGACCAUGAAGACCAUCGGCCACAUUCCACGCACCUCUCCCUGACAAUAAUCCUCAGUAACCUCUGUUAUACAUCAUGUUCACUUCCUUCUCUCACCUCUGACUUUGCGUAGCUCCUGGUUUCCAGUUCCACCCUGAACCAAAGACAUUCACUAUUUUUGUAAUAAACAUUAAUUUCGACUGGUCU